GUCUAUGAAGCACGUGUCACACCCUAGUGUCCACGGCACUGAGUGAAGAGCUCCGCUCACGCUGUCGUGUGGACAAACUGGAGUUUGAAUGUACUCAAUAUUCUGGGAACUGCAUGGCCUAUAAAAGGCUCCGUUACAACUACUGGAGUUCAAGAAACUUCUGGUACAUGUGCAGCACUCUCCAUCAUUGCCUCCUCCAAAGCACUUCAUUAUCAGGAUUGUCUAGGUAAAGAACCAGCAUUUGUUUUAUCCUGCAACUUUAUUGCACAGAGCCAUUUCCCCAACAGUCUCAUACACCCCUGCAGCAGUCCCCAAAGCUCCUACCUUCUUGCAGCUGCUGCCAUUAUCACUGAGUCACUGACAAAUUGUAUCAUGGUGAAACACAAAUGUGUCAGCUCUAUGAGCCUCUGUUACUGCCUUUCUGAGGACAGAGAAUAAGAUAUAUUAGACCCAUGAUAUUAACACAAGAAGAUGACAAAAAAGAA